UGAGCAAUCUGCCCUUCUCUUUAGGAAUAAGCGUGGGAAACCGCGUCUAAUGCCGAAUACGACCUCCUUUCGCAUGAUCGGAGGUGGAAAGCUCCGGCGGAGAAGGAUGAGCUCGCGGCCUAUCAGCUAGUUGGUGUGGGUAAUGGCCCACCAAGGCGACGACGGGUAGCCGGCCUGAGAGGGUGACCGGCCACACUGGGACUGAGACACGGCCCAGACUCCUACGGGAGG
rnacentral:rRNA from 1 species